rnacentral:lncRNA from 1 species
CGAUGAGGAAGUUAAGUAGCUUACCCUGGGCCAGACAGCUAAGUGGCAGAAUCGGGAUUCAGAAUUACUCUGGAGUCCACAUGCCAGUUCGGAAAGGACUGGCAGCCACAUCUGAGUAGGUUUCCUUUACUGAUUUGAAGUCAAGGGCACAGAAAAGAUUACUCAACCCUUGGUACCCUGGUUCCAAGACAUCCAGGGACCUGGAGUCUCAGCUUCCGGUUAUCACUCUGCGUAUCCAAGAGUCAGGGUCACGUCUUACCUGCCCUCCUCCUUGGGCCAUGUCUGCGGAGCCCCCAAACAGCGGGCAAUAAUGGGAAAGCUGGCAUCAAGCAGCAGCCGUUCUCUUUACGGGACACAGAAAUGACCCCUUGUUAUCUUUGACUCCACGGCUGCUGUAAUAUUAUUCGGUUAGCCCUAGUUACAGACUGGAUUUUGUGGUGUGUGAGGAAAGCUACACGGCUUCUCAGCAUUAGCUCUUGACCUGGCAAAAGGAGAAGGAUUGUAUUGUCAUUGCUGUAAAUCGCGGUCCCAGACUGGCCUGUUGAUCCCAGUAUGAGCGCAAGAGACACAUGAAGCGGAGCCAAGUUGAUCCAGCCAAGACCAGCCUGGAUUAGUUUACUCCCAGAUUACAUUCAGACACGUGAGUGAACCCAGUAUGGAUAAACUGAACCUCACAGACACGUAACAGAUGUCUACUGUUGUAUAAUCAUUAUUUUCCUAAACAUCUGAUGCAAUCACCAACCAGAUUAAAAACCUUUUGAGGACAGGGCCUUGUUUUAUUUAUUUUACCUAGAACUCAGUAGGCAAUGUGCAUUGCCUCAGUAUUUAAUGGUAUUGGAUGGC